CAGUCAAGCGUUCUCUAGCUGUUGAGAGCGCGGCGCACGGCUCAGUAGUAUGCAGCUAACCUACCCUAAGGAGGGGGAUAAUCCCGGGAAACUGGGGCUAAUAUUCCAUGAACCUCAGAGGCUGGAAUGCAUUGAGGUUAAAAUGAUCAUUUUAGCAUGCUAAAAUGGUUGCCUUAGGAUGGGGUUGCACCCGAUCAGGUUGUUGGCGGGGUAAAAGCCCACCAAGCCGAUGACCGGUGCGGGCUCUGAGAGGAGGAGCCCGGAGAUGGAUCCUGAGACAAGGGUCCAGGCCCUACGGGGCGCAGCAGGCGCGAAACCUUCACAAUGCCCGAAAGGGUGAUGAGGCUACCCCGAGUGCUAUCCGCAGAGGAUAGCUUUUGUCAGGUCUAAAAAGCCCGGCGAAUAAGGGGAGGGCAAGACUGGUGUCAGCCGCCGCGGUAAUACCAGCUCCCCGACUGGUCGGGAUGAUUAUUGGGCCUAAAGCGUCCGUAGCCGGUUCUUUGUGUGGUUCGUUAAAUCCAGCGGCUCAACCGUUGGACUGCGAAUUAUACUAAAGGGCUAGGGGGCGGGAGAGGCCAAGGGUACUCCGCGGGUAGGGGUAGAAUCCGCUGAUCCGCGGAAGACCAACAGUGGCGAAGGCGUUUGGCCAGAACGCGCCCGACGGUGAGGGACGAAAGCUA
rnacentral:rRNA from 1 species